UACGGGGGGGGCAAGCGUUGUUCGGAAUUACUGGGCGUAAAGGGUUCGUAGGUGGCCAACUAAGUCAUACGUGAAAUCCCUCAGCUUAACUGGGGAACUGCGUCUGAUACUGGUUGGCUUGAGUGCAGGAGAGGAACGCGGAAUUCCAGGUGUAGCGGUGAAAUGCGUAGAUAUCUGGAGGAACACCGGUGGCGAAGGCGGCAUCCUGGACCGGUAUUGACGCUGAGGCGCGAAAGCCAGGGGAGCAAACAGG
rnacentral:rRNA from 1 species